rnacentral:rRNA from 1 species
UACGAGGGGGGCGAGCGUUGUUCGGAAUUAUUGGGCGUAAAGGGUGCGUAGGCGGUUCCGCAAGUCCUGUGUGAAAUCUUCGGGCUCAACUCGAAGUCUGCACGGGAAACUGCCGGGCUUGAGUGUGGGAGAGGUGAGUGGAAUUCCUGGUGUAGCGGUGAAAUGCGUAGAUAUCAGGAGGAACACCUGUGGCGAAAGCGGCUCACUGGACCAUAACUGACGCUGAUGCACGAAAGCUAGGGGAGCAAACAGG